rnacentral:rRNA from 1 species
UUCGACACACUAUCAUUAACUGAAUCCAUAGGUUAAUGAGGCGAACCGGGGGAACUGAAACAUCUAAGUACCCCGAGGAAAAGAAAUCAACCGAGAUUCCCCCAGUAGCGGCGAGCGAACGGGGAGCAGCCCAGAGCCUGAAUCAGUGUGUGUGUUAGUGGAAGCGUCUGGAAAGGCGCGCGAUACAGGGUGACAGCCCCGUACACAAAAAUGCACAUGCUGUGAGCUCGAUGAGUAGGGCGGGACACGUGGUAUCCUGUCUGAAUAUGGGGGGACCAUCCUCCAAGGCUAAAUACUCCUGACUGACCGAUAGUGAACCAGUACCGUGAGGGAAAGGCGAAAAGAACCCCGGCGAGGGGAGUGAAAAAGAACCUGAAACCGUGUACGUACAAGCAGUGGGAGCACGCUUAGGCGUGUGACUGCGUACCUUUUGUAUAAUGGGUCAGCGACUUAUAUUCUGUAGCAAGGUUAACCGAAUAGGGGAGCCGAAGGGAAACCGAGUCUUAACUGGGCGUUAAGUUGCAGGGUAUAGACCCGAAACCCGGUGAUCUAGCCAUGGGCAGGUUGAAGGUUGGGUAACACUAACUGGAGGACCGAACCGACUAAUGUUGAAAAAUUAGCGGAUGACUUGUGGCUGGGGGUGAAAGGCCAAUCAAACCGGGAGAUAGCUGGUUCUCCCCGAAAGCUAUUUAGGUAGCGCCUCGUGAAUUCAUCUCCGGGGGUAGAGCACUGUUUCGGCAAGGGGGUCAUCCCGACUUACCAACCCGAUGCAAACUGCGAAUACCGGAGAAUGUUAUCACGGGAGACACACGGCGGGUGCUAACGUCCGUCGUGAAGAGGGAAACAACCCAGACCGCCAGCUAAGGUCCCAAAGUCAUGGUUAAGUGGGAAACGAUGUGGGAAGGCCCAGACAGCCAGGAUGUUGGCUUAGAAGCAGCCAUCAUUUAAAGAAAGCGUAAUAGCUCACUGGUCGAGUCGGCCUGCGCGGAAGAUGUAACGGGGCUAAACCAUGCACCGAAGCUGCGGCAGCGACGCUUAUGCGUUGUUGGGUAGGGGAGCGUUCUGUAAGCCUGCGAAGGUGUGCUGUGAGG